rnacentral:lncRNA from 1 species
CCAGAAGACUUUGUUGUAAAAUGUGGUUGUCUGCAGAGGAAAUGACACUUAGAUGGUCGGAUGGAAGGAACGGUCUUGCCUGAUUCUCUAACUCCUCUCAGAGUGCCUGUAUUUAGAAACUUCAGGACUUAAGGAGACUUCUGCUCACCGUGUUCCCUGGAGGCCUCGCGCUGAAGAGGACUGCAUCCUGGCGCGUGCUUCUCGCUCCUGUCUUGGCUGGGGGGCGAGGAGGCCGCGGAUUAUUCACUGGCUCUCAGAGCAUCCACCUGGAAGUGACACUCUGCACUUUUGCUCCUGCAUCACUGGCCAAAGUGAGCUCCCUCAUUCGCUCCUCAAGGGAGACAAUGCUAGAGAGUCAUCUAGGCCCAGUGUAUCGAGCUCGCUGUGCAGGUCUGUGUGACACGCAGUUGACUCCACACCUAAAGGCAAGAUACCCACCCUGCACACCCUCCAUAUGUGACGGUGGGGCAAGGACGGGAUAAUGCAAUGGACAUACCGUUUGGAAAGUGAAGGAAUGGGAGGCCACGGUAGAUGCUGGCCCACUGCGCAGACGUGUGGAGGACCCCUACCCAACACCCCCGUUAGACCCUGGUUCUGCUCCCGAGGGUAGCUGCCCUAUCCGCUGUUUCCUGAGACCCCUGACUCUGCCCUCUGAGAGCCUUCCUUUUCCACACCUAAAGCAGGCAUAGAGGCGUACGUUUUCAAAUAAGCUUUUAAAAAUCGGGGGAGGGGUUCAGAGUGAGAGUCAGUCUCAAGUACAGCGUCCUUUGGUCGGGUCGGAUGUUUUUUCAGUACAACUCUCACAAAGACUAGGCUUCUCUCUCUUUGAUUCUAGACCUUCCAUGUGCCAAUGGCCACAGCCAGUUCUUUUCUAGAUGCACUUCCAUGGUUUGCUCUCUUUUUUGCAUUUCUUUGUCCUCUUGCUCUCAGACUUGCUGUGCCCUCUCGCCCAUGCCCUCUCUCCUGACUUGGUUUGAGUGCUUUGGGCUUUGGUGAGAGGGUCUCACUGCCUCCAUUUGCACAGCUAUUUUGUCCAGUGGAAAACAUUGCUGGUAUCAUCUUAAUUUAUCCAGAGGGGUUAACCGUAGGUUUGAGGCCAUACAGUUCACUUGACCGAGGAUGAGUUCUUGCUGAACACAUUUCUUAAUUUUAUAUGUUGCUAGUUGAGAUUAGAAACAGUAGCCUUUUCGAGCCCUACAAAUCUCUGCGUUUACAGAUUGUCCCUACUCUCUCUCAUUCUUGCCCGCAAACUGGCCAAAUCUUCUCCGAGCUCCUCUCUUUUUUUGUAAUAAGUUUCCAAAUACAUCUAACAGGCACCGACACAUGCCACUAGCAUUUUGUUUUGCAGUUUCUUGCUUGAGUUCAUUAAGUUCAUGACAUGCCUUCUAAAUUGGCACAGGUGAUGUGUUCACCAAAUAGAUCACCGACCUUUUGGCUUCUGAUAACAGUGUUCUUAGCUACUGUCCUGGAAAUGGAUGCUUACUUUUAUUAUUUUUGUUGUUACAUUAACCAUGUCUAGGUGCCAAUUUUUAUGGUCAGGAUAGGCUAGGUUUGCCACCAUACCAGAUGAUCCUAAAAUCUCAGUGGCUUAGCAAAAAUACUGUAUUUCUUGCUGAUACUACAUGUUCAAGGUCACAGGGGCGCUGCUGAACGGACUCACUCUGAGACCGAGUCUGAAGAAGGUUUCAUCUUGAUCUGUGCUUCCACCACCAUCCCAGGCCCUUUGGCAGGGGACAGAAAGCAUGGUGAAUUCACUUUGGCUUUAAAACCUUCCUCAGAAGUGACAUAUAUUACUUGUGUUUACACAUUAUUGGUCAAAAACUAGUCACAUGUCUGUGUCUUACUUAAAGGGUGCAGGAAAGUGCGAUC